UGAGAAGUUGCCUUCAGAGGAUUUCCCUGAU
rnacentral:piRNA from 1 species